rnacentral:misc_RNA from 1 species
GUGAAAUCCAUUCGGAGGUGGGUUGUUGCUGGCUUCGGCAUGUGCACGCCCUCUCCAACACACACACACCUGUGAACAACGGGGCGGAUCUGGUUAGGUGCUACCUGACUGGUGAUGCUUCUAUUUACAAACUCUUUUGAAACCAUGAAUGUAACUCUCGUUUAUAACGAAUGAAA